rnacentral:rRNA from 1 species
ACGCACGCUGGCGGCGUGCUUAACCCAUGCACGUCGAACGGAAAGGCCCUGCUUGCAGGGUACUCGAGUGGCGAACGGGUGAGUAACACGUGGGUGAUCUGCCCUGCACUUCGGGAUAAGCCUGGGAAACUGGGUCUAAUACCGGAUAGGAGCCAUUUUUAGUGUGAUGGUUGGAAAGUUUUUUCGGUGUAGGAUGAGCUCGCGGCCUAUCAGCUUGUUGGUGGGGUAAUGGCCUACCAAGGCGGCGACGGGUAGCCGGCCUGAGAGGGUGGACGGCCACAUUGGGACUGAGAUACGGCCCAGACUCCUACGGGAGGCAGCAGUGGGGAAUAUUGCACAAUGGGCGCAAGCCUGAUGCAGCGACGCCGCGUGGGGGAUGACGGCCUUCGGGUUGUAAACUCCUUUCGCUAGGGACGAAGCUUUUUGUGACGGUACCUAGAUAAGAAGCACCGGCUAACUACGUG